rnacentral:rRNA from 1 species
UACAGAGACUGCAAGCGUUAUUCGGAUUCACUGGGCGUAAAGGGUGCGCAGGUGGCCAAGUGUGUUAGGCGUGAAAGCCCGGGGCUUAACCUGGGAGGUGCGUCUGGGACUGGUAUGCUAGAGUUCGGGAGAGGAGAGUGGAAUUCCCAGUGUAGAGGUGAAAUUCGUAGAUAUUGGGAAGAACACCGGUGGCGAAGGCGGCUCUCUGGACCGAGACUGA